AUGAGUGUGAUGCAGUCAGCCAAUGGUAUUCAGAGGGCCAAGGUGCAAGACUUCAAGGCAUCACCUGAGGCUCGAUCAUUAAAUCAUGCAGGACACAAAAAGGAGAAAGAGAAUAUCCCUCCGGUGCUAUGUACGGAGAUCAAUAGGAUACAACACCUGCCCGAAGCUGUAACCAUGGGAAAAAGUUCGGAACAAAAGUUGCUAAGAGCCCUAGGGAAAUUGCCUGUCUGCCCAACUGUACUUGCCCAACCCGAGGCCAUUGGUGUUCCAGAAGCAGUAACCAUGGGAAAAAGCCCGGAACAAAAGUUGCCAAGAGCCAUAGGGAAAUUGCCUGUCUGCUCAACUGUACUUGCCCAACCUGAGGCCACAAGUGUUCCAGAAGCAGUAGAAGCAACUGGCCAGGGGAACACUUACCAUUUCUCUAAUGUGGAGGAGCGGUACCACGAAUUCAUGCGUGUCAAUGGGAAGGCAACCAAUGCACUAGAAAUCAAUAUUCUAGCUGUGAGUGAGCUGUUUGCAAGCCCAAGGGUAAUUGAAUAUGGCAAGUACUUUGUCACAGUCAGGGAGCUCGCAAACUCAAUGAAGAAGGGAGGUUUUGUCGUGAGCCAUGUAAUGGAAGUUGGUAUAGAGAGUAUAAUGAUGAACUUGCCACCAGACUCAAAGAAGCUCAUGAUGCCCGUCAGGUUCUCGGUUCAGAUGCAAAACAUGGAAUUGAACGGCAAGGAGCUCAUUUCCCGGUUCAAGAAGUCGAAUCACUUGGACCGUAAAGACAUGAUUAUGUUCCCAGUUUUAGAGAACAUUGACAAGACAAAGCCUAAAACAGGCAAUCAUUACUGGAUUUUUAACGUGAACAUAAGGGAUUGA
rnacentral:rRNA from 1 species